GUGUAACAAUUCCUUCCUUACGCUGCUGCAGGAGCCGUGGCUGCCCAAUGAAGCCGCAAGCCAGUGUUGUCUACAAACAUCAACAGAUACAAAUCAGGUGGAGAGGUGAAGAAAUGCUACUAUACAAUCCUCCCAUGCAGCUGAAGAGCACUGGCAGAGUUGGUUACAUCCCAGUAAAACAACAUCUAAUUGAUUAAGAAUAAAGAGCUUCAAAACUUGCUUAUUUUGUAAGUUUUUGCCAAGACAAGACUACCCUACCUGUAGGGCAAACUGUACAGUCCCAGUGUAUGUCAGCCCUCUGUUCUACUGUUACUGCAGACAUCCAGUGGAGCCUACACAGCCUAUCAGGAGAAAGACGAGUGACUGGAAGCUUCUUUUACUGUAAAAUGCAACUACAAGUCAAACUAUUGCCCUGGACUUUGUAAAGCAUGAACAGCUCAUGCUCUUGGCAUACUUUACCUCCUUAUAGGAGUGCAUUUCAUGUUCAUACAUUGCCAGGUCUCCCAUUUUCAGAGCAAAGAAAGCCUUAGUAAGUGUCAGGACCACUGAUGGCAUCAUCUUUUCUACUUUCUGAAGAUACUUCACAGCUGUCAAAGGACAUAUGUUUCUCAUGCUGGGACUGCAAAGGAUAUCAGGCAGCUGCACAGGGUCCGCAAGAUACAGUAUCUGGAGAACUUUACUUCCUGAUUCCUAUUGAAAUAAAAGCCAUUUGACAGUUCAGAA